AUCACUGUUUUCUCAGCCCAAAUGUUUUUUACACAGUUGAGUUUAUUUGGGGAAAAUCAUCUUGUACCCUGCUUUUUCAUAAAUAUGCAUAGGAUGUAAUCGUUGUUAAAAUCUUAGCAACAGAGAAGGCUUUUAAAGACCUGAAUGUAAAUCUUGUUUUGUAGUGAAUUGAAGAGACAGAGAUGAAGCGGACGCAGCACAUGAAGACAAUUCUUUCAAGAAGUUUGGCUGUAAAGGAAAAGAUAAAGUUGCUCCAGACUCAUCUUCAACAUUUCCUGCAGCAGACCUGGAAUCAGCCACUUCUCCAAGGAACACUGGUUCUUUUCAAUGGGAAAUGGUAUUUUAGAGGCCACAAUCUGCACAAAGAAACAAGGAAAAGCUAAACCUCUGGGUGUGAAACUGAACAUCACGAAGAGAUGUAUGCAAGGAGAAGACAGCAGAUACCAGAGGCUCAACGAUGUCGUGUGAAUAGAGGGCAUAUGCCUUUAACCCUCACUUUGUUCUCACCAUCGUCAGAAUCCCAGGCAGGAAAGAGCACAUGGGCCAAGAUUGUGUAACCAGCCCUAUGGCACAGCUUCCCUUUAAAGGAAUCAAGCAACUCACCAAUGUGUUCCUCUUCCACCUCCUCAAAGCCCACUUGCCUGGCUGGCUGUCAAGGUUGGGCCUCCAAGCCAUCAACCCAUGGAGGGUGGAAAAAACCACCCUACUAACUCUAACACUUCAUCCAACCACAUUUCCCCACUUAUACUACAAGUCUACUCUUUCCUUUGCUCAUUCUCUUACCCUUCACCCCUCCUUCCCGUGGCCACUUCACUGAUCAUCCACGAGUACUUCAACAAGUCCUUCGUAGUCCUCUCCUUCCCCAGCCUGACAGAGGCUGCAUGGCAUAUUAGAAACAGCACGGGCGUUGGACUAUAAAAGGGUAGGUUUGACUCUUGGCUCUGUAUUAAUGAGCUUUAUGACCUUGAACACAUUAUUAUGAGACUUCUAGGCCUUAG